rnacentral:rRNA from 1 species
UACGGAGGGUGCGAGCGUUGUCCGGAAUCACUGGGCGUAAAGGGCGCGUAGGCGGCCACCGCAAGUCAGUUGUGAAAUCUCCGAGCUUAACUCGGAAAGGUCAACUGAUACUGCGGGGCUAGAGUGCGGAAGGGGCAACUGGAAUUCUCGGUGUAGCGGUGAAAUGCGUAGAUAUCGAGAGGAACACCUGCGGCGAAGGCGGGUUGCUGGGCCGACACUGACGCUGAGGCGCGAAAGCUAGGGGAGCGAACGGG